rnacentral:rRNA from 1 species
CGGACGCUUAAGUCAGCGGUAAAAUUGCGGGGCUCAACCUCGUCGAGCCGUUGAAACUGGGUGCCUUGAGUGGGCGAGAAGUACGCGGAAUGCGUGGUGUAGCGGUGAAAUGCAUAGAUAUCACGCAGAACCCCGAUUGCGAAGGCAGCAUACCGGCGCCCUACUGACGCUGAGGCACGAAAGUGCGGGGAUCAAACAGGAUUAGAUACCCUGGUAGUCCGCACAGUAAACGAUGAAUGCUAGCUGUCCGGGGGGAUUGACCCCUGGGUGGCACAGCGAAAGCGUUAAGCAUUCCACCUGGGGAGUACGCCGGCAACGGUGAAACUCAAAGGAAUUGACGGGGGCCCGCACAAGCGGAGGAACAUGUGGUUUAAUUCGAUGAUACGCGAGGAACCUUACCCGGGCUCAAACGCCGAAGGAACAUUCCCCGAAAGGGGAAUGGCCAGCAAUGGUCUUCGGCGAGGUGCUGCAUGGUUGUCGUCAGCUCGUGCCGUGAGGUGUCGGCUUAAGUGCCAUAACGAGCGCAACCCCCACCGACAGUUGCUAACUGGUCAAGCAGAGGACUCUGUCGGGACUGCCGGCGCAAGCUGCGAGGAAGGCGGGGAUGACGUCAAAUCAGCACGGCCCUUACGUCCGGGGCGACACACGUGUUACAAUGGCAGGUACAGCGGGAUGCCAUGGGGCGACCCAGAGCGGAACCCGAAAACCUGUCUCAGUUCGGAUUGGAGUCUGCAACCCGACUCCAUGAAGCUGGAUUCGCUAGUAAUCGCGCAUCAGCCACGGCGCGGUGAAUACGUUCCCGGGCCUUGUACACACCGCCCGUCAAGCCAUGGGAGCCGGGGGUGCCUGAAGGCCGUGACCGCGAGGAGCGGCCUAGGGUAAAACUGGUGACUGGGGCUAAGUCGUAACAAGGUAACCGUAA